rnacentral:rRNA from 1 species
UUGAAAGGGAAACGAUUGAAGUCGGUCGUACCAGCGGGAAUCAACCUUUCGAGUGGGGNNNUUGGAGUUUUGAAGAGUGUCAAAACCUUUGAGAUUUCAAAAUAUUCGCUCUUUUGGUGUACUUUCUCGUGGGUAGGUUAACAUCGAUUUUGAUCAUCAUAAAAAGAUUGGAGGAAUGUAGCUUCGAUCUUGUAUUGAAGUGUUAUAGCCUUUGGUAAAUGUGAUGAUUAGGAUCGAGGAUUGCAACGAAUACCCUUUUGGGCUAUCCGCCUGAUCUCUGAUACGUGGCCUUGGUAUCGAAAGCUUGCUUAUGGUAUUAAGGUAUUACGGUCAAAAGGUUAGAACGGACUACAUUCGUUAAGGAUGUUGACGUA